CCUACGGGAGGCAGCAGUGGGGAAUAUUGCGCAAUGGGCGAAAGCCUGACGCAGCGACGCCGCGUGGGGGAUGACGGCCUUCGGGUUGUAAACCUCUUUCAGCAGGGACGAAGCGCAAGUGACGGUACCUGCAGAAGAAGCACCGGCCAACUACGUGCCAGCAGCCGCGGUAAUACGUAGGGUGCAAGCGUUGUCCGGAAUUAUUGGGCGUAAAGAGCUCGUAGGCGGUCUGUCGCGUCGGCUGUGAAAUCCCGAGGCUCAACCUCGGGUCUGCAGUGGAUACGGGCAAACUGGAGGGUUGCAGGGGAGACUGGAAUUCCUGGUGUGGCGGUGAAAUGCGCAGAUAUCAGGAGGAACACCGGUGGCGAAGGCGGGUCUCUGGGCAACAACUGACGCUGAGGAGCGAAAGCGUGGGGAGCGAACAGGAUUAGAUACCCGAGUAGUC
rnacentral:rRNA from 1 species